GUGGCGACACGUGUCUAAACACAACCAUGUGGUUCCUUUGGGGCACAAUUCUGAUUACUCAAGUUUGUUGGAAGAAGUUUGUGCUCAAUUGGAGAGAGGCACACACACAGUUAGGGCUCCAGAGAGAGAAGAAGGAAAAGACGCAACUUUCUCCUUCAUUUUUUUAUUCAGAUAACCCAGUGCGCUUUUUAUUUUUAUUUUUUUCUUAAGGAAAGCGCAAACAACAAACUCUAAGGCAGCGCGCUGAAUUUGGAGACGCAUUUUGGGGGGGAAGAGAACUCAACGAUCCCGUUCGGAUUUGGUAGUGAAAAGCGGCUUAGGGUGUAAGACAGAGCCAGAGGAAUGUAUCAAAAUCGGGCCGCGGUGCGGGAACGUCUGUGGAGAUGUCCAGCCUGCGCUCUGUGGAUCUCCCUGCUGCUCCAAGGCGUGCUGGACCUGAGCGCGUCCGAGCUGUAGAUGACACUGGGAGGAGUGGGAAUGUCGAGACAAAGGCUACCAGUAGAGAAGGAAUGCUGGUGUCCUGCUGAGCUAAUCCCAGUUUGAAGAAAGGAGAAAAUGUGGAACUGCAUAGGAGAAGAGGGAGGAGACAAAAAGAUGGCAAAGGAGGGUCCCAGGGUCUGGGCAAAAAUGGAAAGCGUUGCUUGGAAAAAGAAGUCUCCCCCAUCUUUCACCUGCUUUCUUUCUGAGCAACAAGAUCUUCUGCUGGUGGUCCAACGGGUCUCUCUUUGGUUAUCAAGGAAUUCAGAGUUAAUGAGACAGAUGGGCUAUUUGAGAAGUGAUCAUCUUAGCCUGGGGCUAACGGUUUAAUUAGUAAUGCCAGGUUCACUCUCAAGGGCCAUUUGUGUUGAAACAAACAUCUACAGAUGAUACUGAAGAUGAGAUCUUUUUCUCUUUUAACGACCUACCGAUCAGGCUCUUCUGACUGAUUCAGAUUUCCAGUUUUCUUUGACUCUUGACCUGUGCGACUUUUUUCUGAAACAUUUAAAAAAAAAGAUUUUUUUUUUUCUGAUUCUUUGAUAGAGGUGAUUCUGAAAAAAAUUGAGUUUUCAAGAUUUCCCCGAUUUGUGUAACAUGAAAAAGUUUAAGACUGUUGAAAUUUGAGUGUGGAAAAGCAUAGAAUUAAAAAUUGUUCAGUUUACGGGAACUCUGGCUUGUGAAUCUGCUCAUUUUAUUAUGUUUAGAUUUAGCAGAUCCUUUUGACGAUAUUGGUGCCAUGAUUGAUUCGCCCUGAUUUCAUUACUUCUGGGUGGUUGGUGAUUUUCCAAUACUUGCAUGUCAAACCAAUCUUAUCCACCGAUAUUUACUUUUACUACAGUCUAAAAAUCAGCCACUGUUCUCUUUUGCUCCACCGUUAGAGCGGUCUGACUGACAGACCCGCCCACCACGUCACAUUUAAAGGUGCACUGUGUGCUCCUGUAGAUGCUCUAAGCAUUGCUGUAGUCUAACCUGUUAUGUAAGUAUUGUUUGAGU